CGGACGGGUGAGUAACGCGUGAGAAUCUGCCCUCAGGAGGGGGAUAACGGCCGGAAACGGCCGCUAAUACCCCAUAUGCCGAGAGGUGAAAUGAAUUUCGCCUGAGGAUGAGCCCGCGUCUGAUUAGCUAGUUGGUGUGGUAAUGGCGCACCAAGGCGACGAUCAGUAGCUGGUCUGAGAGGAUGAUCAGCCACACUGGGACUGAGACACGGCCCAUACUCCUACGGGAGGCAGCAGUGUGGAAUUUUCCGCAAUGGGCGAAAGCCUGACGGAGCAACGCCGCGUGAGGGAUGAAGGCCUCUGGGCUGUAAACCUCUUUUCUCAAGGAAGAAGACAUGACGGUACUUGAGGAAUAAGCCACGGCUAAUUCCGUGCCAGCAGCCGCGGUAAUACGGGAGUGGCAAGCGUUAUCCGGAAUUAUUGGGCGUAAAGCGUCCGCAGGCGGCCUUGUAAGUCUGUCGUUAAAGCGUGGAGCUUAACUCCAUUUCAGCGAUGGAAACUACAAGGCUUGAGUGUGGUAGGGGCAGAGGGAAUUCCCGGUGUAGCGGUGAAAUGCGUAGAUAUCGGGAAGAACACCAGUGGCGAAGGCGCUCUGCUGGGCCAUAACUGACGCUCAUGGACGAAAGCCAGGGGAGCGAAAGGGAUUAGAUACCCCUGUAGUC
rnacentral:rRNA from 1 species